GUUUAUGGCCCUACCACCCUGAACACGCCUGAUCCCAUCUCACCUUGGAAGCUAAGCAAGGUCAGGCCUGCUUAGCACUUUGACAAUGGAGGUUUGUUGUUGUUGUUG
rnacentral:rRNA from 1 species